rnacentral:rRNA from 1 species
AACGAACGCUGGCGGCGUGCUUAACACAUGCCAGUCGGAUGCGAACGGGGCUUUCGGGCGUCGAGUAGCAUGGCAGACGGGUGAAGAGCGCGUAUCUGACUGGACUCAGGCUGUGGGAUAGUCCCUCGAAAGGGGGUUGAAUACCGGAUGUGCUCGGUGCUGUGAGGGCAUCGACGAAAGUUGGGCUCUGCGGGCACGCUGAUGGACUGAGACAGGGAUGCGUCCUAUUAGCUAGCUGGUGGGGUAAGGGCCUACCAUGGCGACGAUGGGUAGCUGGUCUGAGAGGAUGAUCAGCCACACUGGGACUGCGACACGGCCCAGACUCCUACGGGAGGCAGCAGUGGGGAAUUUCGCGCAAUGGGCGCAAGCCUGACGCAGAAACGCCGUGUGCAUGACGACGCCUUUCGAGGUGUAAAGUGCUGUCGACCGGGACGAGUGGGCGAGGGUGAACAGCUUUCGCGCAUGACGGUACCGGUGGAGGAAGCCCCGGUUAACUCCUUGCCAGCAGCCGCGGUAAGACGGAGGGGGCGAGCGUUGUUCGGAAUUACUGGGCUUAAAGCGCGCGUAGGCGGUGCAGCAAUCUGAGUGCUUGAAAGCCCUCGGCUUAACCGGGGACGGGCUGUGCCUAACUGUUGGACUGGAUUGCCGGAAGGGGAGGCGGAAUCCCUGGUGGAGCGUUGAAAUGCGUAGAGAUCAGGAAGCACGUCGGUGGCGAAGGCGGUCUCCUGGACGGACACAGACGCUGAGGUGCGACAGCGUGGGGCGCGAACGGGAUUAGAUACCCCGGUAGUACACGCCGUAAACGAUGGGUACUAGGUCUGGGGCAUGGGACGAGGCCCGUCCCGGAGCUAACGCAGUAAGUACCCCGCCUGGGGAGAACGUCGCCAAGGCUGAAACUCAAAGGAAUGGACGGGGGCCCGCACAACCGUUGGAGCAUGUGGUUUAAUUCGACGCAACGCGCAGACCCUUACCCAGCUUUGACAUGCACCGGCACAGCGAGGAGAGUCGUUGGCCCGUUUCGGGACGGUGCACAGGUGCUGCAUGGCUGUCGUCAGCUCGUGUCGUGAGAUGUUGGGUUAAGUCCCGCAACGAGUGCAACCCCUGCCAGUAGUUGCCAACAGGUGAUGCUGGGGACUCUACUGGGGACUAUCCGGGGUGAAACCGGAGGAAGGUGGGGAUGACGUCAAGUCAUCAUGGCCCUUACGCCUGGGGCGACACACGUGCUACAAUGGGCCGCACAACGGGGGGCGACCCUGCGAGGGGGAGCGAAUCCCUGAAACCGUGUCUCAGUUCGGAUUGGAGUCUGCAACUCGACUCCAUGAAGGUGGAAUCGCUAGUAAUCGCGGAUCAGCAUGCCGCGGUGAAUACGUUCCCGGGCCUUGUACACACCGCCCGUCACACCACGAUAGUUGAUGAUACCCGAAGUCGCCGGCCCAACCGCAAGGGGGUAGCUGCCGAAGGUAUGAUGAGCGAUUGGGGUGAAGUCGUAA